rnacentral:rRNA from 1 species
AACGAACGCUGGCGGCAUGCCUAACACAUGCAAGUCGAACGAGACCUUCGGGUCUAGUGGCGCACGGGUGCGUAACGCGUGGGAACCUGCCCUUAGGUUCGGAAUAACUCCCCGAAAGGGGUGCUAAUACCGGAUAAUGUCUUCGGACCAAAGAUUUAUCGCCUUUGGAUGGGCCCGCGUUGGAUUAGCUAGUUGGUAGGGUAAAAGCCUACCAAGGCGACGAUCCAUAGCUGGUCUGAGAGGAUGAUCAGCCACACUGGGACUGAGACACGGCCCAGACUCCUACGGGAGGCAGCAGUGGGGAAUAUUGGACAAUGGGCGAAAGCCUGAUCCAGCAAUGCCGCGUGAGUGAUGAAGGCCUUAGGGUUGUAAAGCUCUUUUACCCGGGAUGAUAAUGACAGUACCGGGAGAAGAGCUCCGGCUAACUCCGUG